UGCAUAGCCUUCCUGAAUUUCCCUUUAC
rnacentral:piRNA from 1 species